GAUGAACGCUGGCGGCGUGCCUAAUACAUGCAAGUCGAGCGAACAGACGAGGAGCUUGCUCCUCUGACGUUAGCGGCGGACGGGUGAGUAACACGUGGAUAACCUACCUAUAAGACUGGGAUAACUUCGGGAAACCGGAGCUAAUACCGGAUAACAUGUUGAACCGCAUGGUUCAACAGUGAAAGACGGUCUUGCUGUCACUUAUAGAUGGAUCCGCGCCGCAUUAGCUAGUUGGUAAGGUAACGGCUUACCAAGGCAACGAUGCGUAGCCGACCGGAGAGGGGGAUCGGCCACACUGGAACGGAGACACGGACAAGACUCCUACGGGAGGGAGCAGAAGGGAAUCUUCCGCAAUGGGCGAAAGCCUGACGGAGCAACGCCGCGUGAGUGAAGAAGGUCUUCGGAUCGUAAAACUCUGUUAUUAGGGAAAAACAAAUUUGUAAUUAACUAUGCACGGCUUGACGGUACCUAAUAAAAAAGCCACGGCUAACUACGUG
rnacentral:rRNA from 1 species